rnacentral:rRNA from 1 species
CCUACGGGAGGCAGCAGUAGGGAAUAUUGGGCAAUGGAGGCAACUCUGACCCAGCCAUGCCGCGUGAAGGAUGAAGGUCCUACGGAUUGUAAACUUCUUUUAUAAGGGAAGAAACCCCUGGAUUCACUCCGGGGCUGACGGUACCUUAAGAAUAAGCACCGGCUAACUCCGUGCCAGCAGCCGCGGUAA